rnacentral:lncRNA from 1 species
UUUCUCUUAAUUUAAGUAUUUACCUUUAAUUACCUAUUCCCUCCUAAUUUCUUACCUAAAAAAAUUAGAAAUUUCAACCUAAUUGGGAUUUCCCCCAAUCCUAAUUGUGAUCGGAUCUUCAGUUGGCUGUUCCUCUUAAUUUCUCACUUGAAAAAAAAAAUUAGAAAUUCCCUCGUAGUAGUUUGUAUUCGCCUCAAUUCUUUUUUCACUUCAAAAAAAAAUUAGAAAUCCCCUCCUAGUUUGUAUUCCCCCAAUCCUAAUCAGUUAUCACAAUCGAUCUUCAAUUAUUGUGGCCCCUAAUCUCCUUCUUAGAUUCAAGCAAUUGAGCAUCUUCGUAUUCAGCGGUCUGCAUUCUGCACUAACUGAUUCCAGAAAUCGUUAAUCGUUUCAUUAGGUAGCGUGGAGCUAGUGGUAGACUGAGUUCAAAAGCUGGUAAAAAGGUGUGGAUGGCGUUGUUUGCGGGCUAAGGAAAUCCACAUGUCUCAAAAAAAUAUGUACACAAUCCAGAAAAAGUUUUGCUAGAAUUUGUGAAGAUAUGGAACAAAUGAAGAACUAUAAACCUCUAGAAGAUGGAAGUGCUUUGGUCUAUUAUUGUGCGGUUGUAUGAACUUCAAAGCGAGCUUUGAAGUUGAAAAAACACAGUUACUCGAAAUGUGAAACAAAAUUGAAGAGGACCAUCAAUGGAAGAAAAGUUUAGGUGGAAGCUAUGCAGGAAGGUUUUGAUAGCAAACGAGCAAACUUUGAAGCUAUGAUGCGAUGAAUUAUGGAAAAACUACCUAUUGGAGUGCUUUAGAAUCUUAGAUAUGAGUAGGUGGUUUCCGUUACUUAUUAUCAUUGUAAUUGACAGAUUUGUUUUGAUGACAUUGUUAUUAAUUUGGAGUUUGGACAUAUAUCAAACUAUGAUAUAAGAUUCUCUAUUAUGUUUAUGUUAUUAUUGUGUUGG